rnacentral:rRNA from 1 species
AUGAACGCUGGCGGCGUGCCUAAUACAUGCAAGUCGAGCGAACAGACGAGGAGCUUGCUCCUCUGACGUUAGCGGCGGACGGGUGAGUAACACGUGGAUAACCUACCUAUAAGACUGGGAUAACUUCGGGAAACCGGAGCUAAUACCGGAUAAUAUAUUGAACCGCAUGGUUCAAUAGUGAAAGACGGUUUUGCUGUCACUUAUAGAUGGAUCCGCGCCGGAUUAGCUAGUUGGUAAGGUAACGGCUUACCAAGGCAACGAUGCGUAGCCGACCUGAUAGGGUGAUCGGCCACACUGGAACUGAGACACGGUCCAGACUCCUACGGGAGGCGGCAGUAGGGAAUAUUCCGCAAUUGGCGAAAGCUUGACGGAGCAACGCCGCGUGAGUGAUGAAGGUCUUCGGGUCGUAAAACUCUGUUAUUAGGGAAGAACAAAUGUGUAAGUAACUAUGCACGUCUUGACGGUACCUAAUCAGAAAGCCCCGGCUAACUACGUG